AACAAUGCGUUGAGAGGAACUAGUAAUAGGAAUACUUCUGUUCAGAGAGCUAGUGGACGGUGCGAACUAGCCAGAGGUGCCUAUGAAUCCAUCCUUGAGUGGAAUGCUGAACAUAAGUAGGCGUUUCCGGUUCUGGCCGUUAUCCAGAUGAGUGGUCAGCGGUAUAGCUGGCAACAAGGGUGGCAACGCGGGUGCUCUCGUCCCUUUU
rnacentral:ncRNA from 1 species